CAUCCCUGAGUCAUUCCACUUCGAUUCCUCUUGUCCUUUUCCCAGGAAUAAGAGAAUCGAAGUGGAACGCCUCAAGGAUG